rnacentral:rRNA from 1 species
UACGUAGGAUCCGAGCGUUAUCCGGAUUUAUUGGGUUUAAAGGGUGCGUAGGCGGGCAUUUAAGCCGGCGGUCAAAUGUCGGGGCUCAACCCCGGCCUGCCGUCGGAACUGGGUGCCUUGAGUGGGCGAGAAGUAUGCGGAAUGCGUGGUGUAGCGGUGAAAUGCAUAGAUAUCGGGAAGAACACCGAUGGCGAAGGCAGCUCUCUGGGCCGUCACUGACGCUGAGGCGCGAAAGCUGGGGGAGCGAACAGG